UGGGGAAUAUUGGACAAUGGGCGCAAGCCUGAUCCAGCAAUUCCGCGUGGGUGAAGAAGGUCUUCGGAUUGUAAAGCCCUUUCGUUGGGGACGAUGAUGACGGUACCCAAAGAAGAAGCCCCGGCUAACUUCGUGCCAGCAGCCGCGGUAAUACGAAGGGGGCUAGCGUUGCUCGGAAUGACUGGGCGUAAAGGGCGCGUAGGCGGCAUAACUAGUCAGGCGUGAAAUUCCUGGGCUUAACCUGGGGACUGCGUUUGAUACGGUUGGGCUAGAGGAUGGAAGAGGCUCGUGGAAUUCCCAGUGUAGAGGUGAAAUUCGUAGAUAUUGGGAAGAACACCGGUGGCGAAGGCGGCGAGCUGGUCCAUUACUGACGCUGAGGCGCGAAAGCGUGGGGAGCAAACA
rnacentral:rRNA from 1 species